CACGUGACCAAGGAGUUUGCAGCGGACUGUCAGGAUGUCCAUCAUGCAGCUACCUUCACUUUAAAAUGCCUGCUCCAUGAACCUUAACAGGUCAGUGAGCAGCAAAGACAUAUGGGCACAUCACAUGAGAAGCACAGGAGGUGAAUUGUUGCCACACCCACCACCACCACAAAACUGAGGGCCAGUAUCACAAGCCCCAGUCCCAGCAAAUGAGAGGUUCCCCCUUUAUAGAAGUUCAGCUGGUCCCACAGCCCCACAGCCAGGCAGCUGAAGCCGAUGAGAGUUCCCCAAAAUCCAAAAGCUAGCAUGCAGGAUCCACAAGACAGUUCAACGCCUCCAGUAACCACAGUGACGCCCGCCACUGACACAACUCCUCCUGGUAAGGUCACGGUUUCCGAUUUAGACCCGUAUCUCACAGUAGAGGUGACAUCUGAUAAAGUUGAAGGAUCAAGGGUUUCCAUUUUGGACGCCAUGGUCUGUUUUUAUUGCUUGGUAGAUGGCCAAGAGGGCUUUUUACAUGUAGCUUCUUCUCUCUUCUUUCUACGAUAUCACACAUAGUCUUGAUUAGAAAACCCCCCACUUUGCUUUCAUGUCUGGUAUCAGUUAUGCAGCUUCAAGUUUAAAAUAAAUCAUCCCAAGCUGUCGGUAUAAACUUUGUAUAAUUAUAUACUGUGUCAAAUUCCC
ensembl:lncRNA